rnacentral:lncRNA from 1 species
GGUCUUAACAGAAAACAUACCUGGAAUACCUCAAUCUGCGUCGCGACCUGCUAGAAAAAAAGAAAAGGCGACAUUAGACAUACACAAAGGUCUUAACAGAAAACAUACCUGGAAUUCCUCAAUCUGCGUCGCGACCUGCUAGAAAAAAAAGAAAAGGCGACAUUAGACAUACACAAAGGUCUUAACAGAAAACAUACCUGCGAAUUUCCAAUCUGCGUCAAGCCCUGCAGAAAAAAGAAAAGACAACAUUAGACAUACACAAAGGUCUUAACAGAAAACAUACCUGAAAAUCCUCAAUCUGCGUCGCGCCCUGCAAAAAAAAAAAAAAGGCCACACAACCUAAAGGAAUUUCCAAUCUGCGUCAAGACCUGCUAGAAAAAAAGAAAAGGCGAAAUUAGACAUACACAAAGGUCUUAACAGAAAACAUACCUGAAAAUCCUCAAUCUGCAUCGCGCCCUGCUAGAAAAAAAGAAAAGUCGACAUUAGACAUACACAAAGGCCUUAACAGAAAACAUACCUGAAUCUCAAUCUGCGUCGCGCCCUGCUAGAAAAAAAAGAAAAGACAACAUUAGACAUACACAAAGGUCUUAACAGAAAACAUACCUGGGAAUCCUCAAUCUGCGUCGCGCCCUGCUAGAAAAAAAAGAAAAGACAACAUUAGACAUACACAAAGGUCUUAACAGAAAACAUACCUGGAAUCCUCAAUCUGCGUCGCGCCCUGCCAGAAAAAAAAAGAAAAGGCAACAUUAGACAUACACAAAGGUCUUAACAGAAAACAUACCUGCGAAUCUCCAAUCUGCGUCGCGCCCUGCUAGAAAAAAAGAAAAGACAACAUUAGACAUACACAAAGGUCUUAACAGAAAACAUACCUGAAAAUCCUCAAUCUGCGUCGCGCCCUGCUAGAAAAAAAAGAAAAGACAACAUUAGACAUACACAAAGGUCUUAACAGAAAACAUACCUGGAAUUCCUCAAUCUGUCGUUCGCGACCUGCUAGAAAAAAAGAAAAGGACAACAUUAGACAUACACAAAGGUCUUAACAGAAAACAUACCUGGGAAUCCUCAAUCUGCGUCACGCCCUGCUAGAAAAAAGAAAAGGCGAAAUUAGACAUACACAAAGGUCUUAACAGAAAACAUACCUGAAAAUCCUCAAUCUGCGUCGCGCCCUGCAAAAAAAAAAGGCCACACGACCUAAAGGAAAAAAAAAAAGAAAUCAUUAGACAUACACAAAGGUCUUAACAGAAAACAUACCUGAAAAUCCUCAAUCUGCGUCGCGCCCUGCUAGAAAAAAAGAAAAGGCGACAUUAGACAUACACAAAGGCCUUAACAGAAAACAUACCUUCGAAUCUUCAAUCUGCAUCGCGCCCUGCUGGAAAAAAAAGAAAAGGUGACAUUAGACAUACUCAAAGGCCUUAACAGAAAACAUACCUGGAAUUCCUCAAUCUGCGUCGCGCCCUGCUAGAAAAAAAAGAAAGACAACAUUAGACAUACACAAAGGUCUUAACAGAAAACAUACCUGAAAAUCCUCAAUCUGUCGGCGCCCUGCUAAAAAAAAAAAAGGCCACAUGACCUAAGGAAUUUCUCAAUCUGCGUCAAGACCUGCUAGAAAAAAAGAAAAGGCGACAUUAGACAUACACAAAGGUCUUAACAGAAAACAUACCUGGAAUUCCUCAAUCUGCGUCGCGCCCUGCUAGAAAAAAAGAAAAGGCGACAUUAGACAUACACAAAGGUCUUAACAGAAAACAUACCUGGAAUUCCUCAAUCUGCGUCGCGACCUGCUAGAAAAAAAGAAAAGGCGACAUUAGACAUACACAAAGGCCUUAACAGAAAACAUACCUUCGAAUCUCAAUCUGCGUCGCGUCCUGCUAGAAAAAAAGAAAAGGCAACAUUAGACAUACACAAAG